rnacentral:rRNA from 1 species
UACGAAGGGGGCUAGCGUUGCUCGGAAUCACUGGGCGUAAAGCGCACGUAGGCGGAUCUUUAAGUCAGGGGUGAAAUCCCAAGGCUCAACCUUGGAACUGCCUUUGAUACUGGGGAUCUCGAGUCCGGAAGAGGUUGGUGGAACUGCGAGUGUAGAGGUGAAAUUCGUAGAUAUUCGCAAGAACACCAGUGGCGAAGGCGGCCAACUGGUCCGGUACUGACGCUGAGGUGCGAAAGCGUGGGGAGCAAACAGGG